UACGGAGGGUGCAAGCGUUAUUCGGAAUUAUUGGGCGUAAAGGGCGCGCAGGCGGUCAUGUAAGUCAGAUGUGAAAGCCCGGGGCUCAACCCCGGAAGUGCAUUUGAUACUGCAUGACUUGAGUAUGGGAGGGGGAAGUGGAAUUCCUGGUGUAGAGGUGAAAUUCGUAGAUAUCAGGAGGAACACCAGUGGCGAAGGCGACUUCCUGGACCAAUACUGACGCUGAGGCGCGAAGGCGUGGGGAGCAAACAGG
rnacentral:rRNA from 1 species